UGGACAAUGACUACUCGCUUGAAAAAUCUUCAUCUCACUUUUCUUCUUUGCCAAACAUGUGAAACAAUUUUUCCUAGUAACCAAACUUAAAACGUAAACUGAUACAUCGUUGCCUGAAUGAGACGACGAAGUGGACGUUGAGGACCUUUGGCGGCGUGAGUACUUAGCCAUGGCGUAUGACGCCAAACGGUUUUACCGUCGGAGCCGGAGAUGAGUUUAGUGCCACCAAGAGCGAGCUCUAGAGAACACAUUCCGGGGUGCAUUAAUUUGCCACAAUACAAAGCAACCACUAUCUCCGCUCCGACCAUUUCCACCGCCGCUGAGUGUCUUAACGCUUUUCCCGGCAGCGAUCUCCGUCUCACAGCAACUCAUUUUCAUUAUCCCCGUCGCGUACAUGUUCUUGGCCUUAGCUCGCUUCAGACAUCCCGUCGGGGAGACAAAAGCGCAUUUUAUCAAUCCAUCGGUCCCAGGAGCUUAACAUGUAAUUUUAAAUCUUUGGAAAUGUUGAUAAAUUUUUUUUUGCAUCAAACUGUUCUUUUAUUAAUCAAACUUCAGAUAAAAUGCGAAACAAAACUAAAACAAAAACAAUCAAUAAAAAUAAAAAAAUAACUUUCGAUUUCAAAAUCUAGCAUUCUUGGCUAAGAUUGUUAUGUUUUCGGUACAAAAACAUAUAAAGUUGAAUAUGUGGAAACAGAAAUGUUGAAAAAACAAAUCAAUUUAGAUAUGUUAAGAUUUAUCUGUAACUUGAACUAAUCAAUAUGAGGAAUUCAUAAACUUGUACUUGUAAGUAUAUAAUAUAUUUAAAUGUACAUAACUAUUCCUAUAUUCUGUAUAAUUGUGUUUUUUACUAAUUAUUCCACCAUUCAUCUAGAUUUGUUACAAAAAUUACUCAUUUAAAAAAAUUUGUUGUCAUUUAGUGAUUUUAUAUUGUUCCUGCAACUAUAAUAUUUUGUAAGAUGAACAACAAGAAUUAUGCUACAAAGUAGUUUUAUCUAUCUGCUUUUCAGAAUAUAUUUUUGCUGCGUUAACACAUACUUCAUACGUGGAAAGAAAUGUGCAACAGAGACUAUUAGCAUGGAGUAAAAUCAAUAUAUCUUGUGAAUAGAUCCGAUACGAGCAGUUUCUUUUUGUACUACACUACGGACUCUUAUUUUGAGUCUUUAGACUACCACACACGCCUUUUGGUCCUUUAAAUUUGAAUUGUUAUCAUUUUAACUCGAUUAGCAAAUGAUCUUUGUCUUGCUCUUUCGAGGAUAUAUAUGC
rnacentral:lncRNA from 1 species